GGCUUAGGCACGAUGAAACGUGCCGGGCCUCCGGCCGGCCGACUGACGCGCCCCAUCUGGCCAUCUCUAGGGGCGAGGUGCUGCCAUGCGCCCAUUCAAGGCCAUCGCCGGCGCCCGCAGCAUCGCCUCGCCAACGACUUUAAACCUUGCUGCAGAAGGCAAUACCCGGGGCGAGGCGAGGUGCCGCCAUGCGCCCAUUCAAGCCUAUCUCCGGCGCCCGCAGCAUCGCCUCGCGCCUCGCCAGCGCCUCCACGCCGGCGGACGUGUGCAUGGUCAAGACGGGCUUGGAUCCAGCCCCCUACCGCCUCGAACUCCACUUCAAAUACCUCGUCUCCUCCGGCCGCCUCGCGGCCGCCGGCAAGUUGCUCGACCAGAUGCCCGAGAAGAACACCCUCUAUUUCAGAUUCCUCUACCGCCUCGAACACCACCUCAACUACCUCGCCACCUCCGGCCGCCUCGCGGUCGCGGCCGCCCGCAAGGUGCUCGACCAGAUUCCCGAGAAGAACACCCUCUAUCUCACAUUCCUCAACUCCAUUAUCUUGGGAUACUCCAGGUCCUGCGACCUCGCCGCCGCCAAGGCCCUAUUCAGUGCCGCGGCUCACCGCAACGCCAAGACCUGGACAAUCAUGAUGAGCACGCCCCCCGCGGAUGGCCGUGGCUCCGAUGCCGUAUCACUCUUCCGAGACAUGCUCAGGGAGGGCGACGCGCCCGACCACGUCACCAUCACCACCGUGCUCAACGCGCCUGGCUGCAAUGUCGCGCCGCUCCAUCUCGUGGUCACCAAGCUCGCCUUUGACACCAACGUUGUCGUAUGUAACACACUGCUAGAUGCGUAUUGCAAGCAAGGAUUCAUUGCUGCUGCUCGGAGAGUCUUCCUGGAGAUGCCACACAGGGACACGAUCACGUAUAAUGUCAUGAUAACGGGCUGCUCUAGGGAGGGGCUGUACAGUGAGGCACUAGAGCUAUUUGCUGCUAUGCGACGUGAGAGCGUUAACACUAGCCACUUCACGUUCUCAAGUUUGCUAACAGUAGCGACAGGUAUGGUCGAUCUCUACCUUGGGCGUCAGAUCCAUGGUCUCUUUGUCAGGGCCAACCCAUCACAUAACGUCUUUGUCAAUAAUGCAUUGCUUGAUUUUUACUCGAAAUGUGACUGUCUUGGUGACCUGGAGCAGUUGUUUGAUGAGAUGCCACAGCGGGACAAUAUUUCAUACAAUGUGAUGAUCUCUGCCUAUUCUUGGAACCAAUGUAGUGGCAUGGCUUUGCAGCUGUUCAGGGAAAUGCAGACACUCAGUUUUGACAGGCAUACAUUACCAUUUGCUAGCUUGCUCAGUGUCGCUGGGGCAUUGCCUGACAUUAAGAUCGGGAGACAAAUACAUGCACAAUUAAUCCUUCUUGGCCUUACUUUGGAGGAUUUCAUGGGAAAUGCCCUGAUUGACAUGUACUCAAAAUGUGGUAUGCUAGAUGCUGCAAAGACUAUUUUUGCAAACAAAAGUGACAAAACUGCCAUUUCCUGGACCGCUUUGAUAACUGGGUGUGUCCAGAAUGGGCAGCAUGAGGAAGCAUUGCAACUAUUCUGUAACAUGAGAAGAGCUGGUCUAAGUCCUGAUAGGGCGACAUGUUCUAGCAUCAUAAAGUCUUCCUCAAGCCUGGGAGUGAUUGGGAUAGGAAGGCAAUUGCAUGCUUACCUCACAACAUCAGGGCACAUGUCCAGUGUGUUCUCAGGCAGUGCCCUUCUUGAUAUGUAUGCAAAAUGUGGCUGUUUGGAUGAAGCCAUCAGAACAUUUAAUGAGAUGCCCGAGAAGAAUUCCAUCACGUGGAAUGCUGUAAUUUCAGCAUAUGCGCAAUAUGGACAGGCAAAGAAUGCCAUCAGGAUGUUUGACAGCAUGCUUCACUGUGGUUUUUGUCCAGAUCCAGUCACUUUCUUGAGUGUGCUAGCAGCCUGUAGUCACAAUGGUCUUGCGGAAGAAUGCAUGAAAUACUUUGACUUGAUGAGAUAUUACAAUAGCAUGUCACCCUGGAAGGAACACUAUUCUUGUGUUAUUGAUGCCUUGGGUCGGGCAGGCUGUUUCGAUAAAAUUCAGAAAGUGUUAGAUGAGAUGCCAUUUGAGGCUGAUCCAGUAAUAUGGAGCUCCAUUCUUCACUCGUGCAGGAUCUAUGGAAACCAGGAUUUAGCUACAGUGGCUGCUGAAAACUUGUUCACUAUGGUUCCCACAGACGCGACUGCCUAUGUCAUAUUGUCCAACAUAUAUGCUAAAGCUGGUAAUUGGGAAGGUGCUGCGCGUGUGAAAAAGAUUAUGAGAGAUAGAGGAGUUAGGAAAGAGUCGGGUAACAGUUGGGUUGAAAUCAAGCAAAAGAUCUACAUGUUUUCUUCUAAUGAUCACACCAACCCAAUGAUAGAUGAGAUUAAAGAAGAGCUUGAGAGGUUGUACGAAGAGAUGGAUAAACAAGGCUAUGAGCCCGAUACUAGCUGUGCCUUGCAUAUGGUGGAUAAUAAGCAAAAGUUGGAGUCACUAAAAUACCACAGUGAGAGAUUGGCCAUCGCUUUUGCCCUGAUCAAUACCCCACCAGGGACGCCAAUUACGGUUAUGAAGAACUUGAGUGCCUGCCUAGAUUGUCAUGCUGCCAUCAAGAUGAUAUCGAAGAUUGUGAACAGAGACAUUAUUGUAAGAGACUCACGCAGGUUUCACCAUUUCAAGGAUGGGUUUUGCUCUUGCGGAGAUUACUGGUAGGAACUUGGUUGGCUGCCUAGUUAGAUGAACAAACAAUUAAAAGUUACACACUGAAGGUGAACAAGAACACAUGUUUCAGAAUUGAAGACAAGCCCCGAAUCAUUUGCUGUUGAAACUUGACUCAUAACCGUAGUACUUGGCCUAGUUGUGAUUGACGUAUUCAAGGCGGAGGAGUAAAAAUGACUAUAUGCUAUCAAAGGGUUGUUAUCAUUCAGCCUGGAGGCCUGACAGAGCAGUAAAAUAACCGCAGUUACCAGCUGACCUCCCUCAAUUCCUCGGCCAUCCGUACGUCUCCGCCUUCGGGGCUUUCUUCUUGGUCUCGUUCCUUGGCUGGACAAAACACCUGUGGCAGCGGCCGCGCUGCUUGCCUCGCCUUGCUCUCGGUUCGUGGGGCAUGGCGGCUUCGCCGGCUUGUGCUCCGGGGCUCAUCUCCGGCCCCACCCUCCCUCCCCUGCCCGUUGCCUUCCGCUGCUACUGGGCCCAAAAGCCCUCCUCCGCGUCGACCUCCUCCAGGCGCCCGUGCCGCAGGCGGUUCGUUCCCGUUGCAGCUGCCUCCACCCGCACCUCCUCUGCGGCUGCUCGGGGCCUCGACGCCGACGACUUCCGCCACCCGCUGGACAAGCAGAACACUCUGCUGCUGAGAGCAAUUCCCGGGCUCAACGACGUGGGCAAAGCUUUGCUAGGACCCGUCUCGGAGCAAGUUAUGGUACUCCAGAACAUUGGAACAUCAGUUCUCGUCUCCCCGAACCAGCUUCCAGAUCUCCACCAACUGCUGGUUGAGGCUGCGAAGCUCUUGAACACCGAAGCUCCUGACUUGUACAUAAGGCAGAAUCCUGUUCCAAAUGCCUACACCUUAGCAAUCAACGGCAAAAAACCAUUCAUUGUCGUUCACACAAGCCUUGUGGAGCUGCUUACUCCAAGGGAAUUGCAGGCUGUUUUGGCUCAUGAGCUGGGUCACCUCAAGUGCGAUCAUGGUGUUUGGCUCACUUUUGCCAAUAUACUCACAAUGGGAGCAUACACUGUCCCUGGUUUUGGCAUGGUUGCUGGCUUCCUGGAAGAGCAGCUAUACAGAUGGCUACGAGCUGCAGAGCUGACUUGUGACAGGGCAGCUCUUCUUGUGGUGCAAGAUCCGAAGGUAGUCAUCUCUGUUCUGAUGAAAUUGGCCGGAGGAUGCCCAUCUCUUGCCGACAAGCUAAAUGUGGAUGCCUUCCUGGAGCAAGCUCGUUCGUACGACAAGGCUGCAUCGAACCCAGUUGGGUGGUACAUCCGGAAUGCACAAACCAGAGAGCUUUCACACCCUUUGCCUGUGAUGCGAGCCAGAGAGAUCGAUGAGUGGUCAAGAAGCCAGGAGUACAAGACCGUAAUGCAAAAAAUGUUUCAGAUGGGGCUGAACAGAGUAUAGUUAGUGGCGACACAUACGAAGAGGUCUGUACAUGGAAUCCAUCAUGUUUCUUUGCAAGGAUUUAGCUUUAGAUCAUGACUGUCCUUUCCUGUAUAUCUGAUCAUGAGUUUGUGAUUUUCUCCUGGGUGGCUGGGCACCGUUUUUUUUCCAGGACUGUAGAGUCUGUAGCUUGUGUAUGGAAGGGAAUGUCUGUAUAUGGAGAAGGCUGGUGUUUCUGGAAAAAAAACAGAUACAAACAUAGACAUAUUGUAUAUAUUUGCAGUUGAAUUUAGUCUCCUUGUAUAUGAUAUAUUUUUUUCUUUUUUGUUACUGUGUAAUACUGUAACUAGAAUGAAUAAAAGUUUGUUUGAGUUUGCCGGAUAACUGGAAAGAUCGGCAUGGUUA